rnacentral:lncRNA from 1 species
GCUGUAGUGAAGGUAUUUGAUGCACACGAGAGUGUAGGCGAGGGUUAGAAAAGGGGACGAAAGGCGCCGGGGCCGGUUCCGGUGCCCGCCGCCGCCGAGUGAGGAAUGGAGGAGGGCGAGUGAUCGGUAAGUGGUGGGAUGGAGCGGAGCCGGGAGGGCCCCGUGCCCACCUCGCGUCUCGAACACGCGUGGAGCGACCGCCCCGGCUCUGCCGAGCCUCCCCUCGGGGGUGCGGAGCGGAAGGGAACGGGGCCGGGCACUGGCGAGGCCGAACCGAGCCGCUGCGGUUCCCCCUAGCCCUGCGCGGCGGCUCCGGGCCCGCGGGCGGCGGAGGAACGGGGGAGGCUGAGCCCUGGCCCUGCCGGUGCCCGGUGCGGCCCUUCCAGAACCGAAACCGCUCCCGGAGCCGCGGGGACACUCCGUGGUUCCCGUUCGUUCCCUCGGCGAAGCUUUUGGGGCCGCAGUCGUUGUGGGGUUUUUUGCCAUUUCGGGAAGGAGCUUUUCAGAGAGGAGAAAUCCCCGCGUCUCUCCCAUCAGCCCCAUCCAGCAGCAGCCACCGCAGGCAACGGGGGACAGGGAGCAGUGGGGACAGCGGAGAGACAACCCCAUGGCAGCACCCUCAGAAUCCGGGGGGAGAUGUGCCCUGCCAGGACCUGGUGCUGUGGGUUUGCAGCCACAAAUCUGGACAUGGCUCCAGGGGAGGGGAGGUGCAGCUGCACCCCAGUGUGACUCAGUCCUGGGACAGUACCCAUACUCCACCAGGGAUGCUCCAGAGCCUCCUGGAUGUGGAACAGGGAUUUGCUGACUGCAUCCCACAGACACAGUGCUGGAUCCCCAUGGGGGUGAGGACACAGCUGAGGAAACCACUGUGCUUCCCCAGGAUGGCCUGAUUGCAGCACACCCAACAAAGGCACAGCUCUCGGUGAGGACCUGGGGGCAGCAUCCACCUUUCUGCACAUUGGGAUGUGAUGUUUGUCCACACUGCCAGGAUGGGCUCCGAUCAGAGGGUUGGUGCAGUGGUGGCACUGUCACCUCCUGGGGAUGGGAUUCUGGCAGCGUCCAUCGAGGGCUCACACCCUUUUCUCCCUUUAACAGGUGAUGUGGUCUGGAUGGCCAAGAAGGGCUGGAGGAGAGCCCAGGCAUUGUCUGAAAUGUGGGCAGGGUCUGGGCAUGUCCCCUUCCUGUCCCCAGGGUAAAUGCUUACUUACUCUGUCCCAUCACUGGACCCUGGGGGUCCAGAGCUGCUACCACUGAGCCCGAGGCACCGAGGGACAAGGCCUGCAGCAAAAGGAGGUGAAAAGGAAAAACAACAAGUAUAUUAAAGGUGUUGAAAGCCUACAGCAGAAUCUCAGCCGGUCUCUCUUGUGUUGCUGAUGUUGGAGUGGAAUUUUCC